rnacentral:rRNA from 1 species
CCGAGAAUUUUUCACAAUGGGCGCAAGCCUGAUGGAGCGACGCCGCGUGGGGGAUGAAUGGCUUCGGCCCGUAAACCCCUGUCAUUUGCGAUCAACCGUUAUUAUUUAAAAGAUGAUAACCUGAUAGUAGCGAAAGAGGAAGGGACGGCUAACUCUGUGCCAGCAGCCGCGGUAAUACAGAGGUCCCAAGCGUUGUUCGGAUUUACUGGGCGUAAAGGGUGCGUAGGUGGCGGUGUAAGUCGGAUGUGAAAUCUCCGAGCUCAACUCGGGAACUGCAUUGGAAACUACAUUGCUCGAGGGUUGGAGGGGGGACUGGAAUACUUGGUGUAGCAGUGAAAUGCGUAGAUAUCAAGUGGAACACCAGUGGCGAAGGCGAGUCCCUGGACAACUCCUGACACUGAGGCACGAAAGCUAGGGGAGCAAACA